GAACCGAACCGACGACUCCAAUGGGUGAACAGGGGAGCGGAUUGGACUUACUUUUUUUCAAACAGUCAGUCUUUUUCUCUCUCCUAUUAAUCCAUUCGAUUUCCAACUCGCCGACUAU
rnacentral:precursor_RNA from 15 species